rnacentral:rRNA from 1 species
UACAUAGGGUGCGAGCGUUAAUCGGAAUUACUGGGCGUAAAGUGUGCGCAGGCGGCCGCGCAAGUCGAGUGUGAAAUCCCCGAGCUUAACUUGGGAAUUGCGCUCGAAACUACGUGGCUGGAGUGUGGCAGAGGAAGGUGGAAUUCCACGUGUAGCGGUGAAAUGCGUAGAGAUGUGGAGGAACACCGAUGGCGAAGGCAGCCUUCUGGGCCAACACUGACGCUCAUGCACGAAAGCGUGGGGAGCAAACAGG